UACAGAGGGGGCAAGCGUUGUUCGGAAUUACUGGGCGUAAAGGGCGCGUAGGCGGCCUGUUAAGUCGAACGUGAAAUCCCCGGGCUCAACCCGGGAACUGCGUCCGAUACUGGCAGGCUUGAAUUCGGGAGAGGGAUGUGGAAUUCCGGGUGUAGCGGUGAAAUGCGUAGAUAUCUGGAGGAACACCGGUGGCGAAGGCGGCAUCCUGGACCGAUAUUGACGCUGAUGCGCGAAAGCCAGGGGAGCAAACGGG
rnacentral:rRNA from 1 species